UCAAUACCAAAUAUAAUCAUUGUCAUGCAAAUAUUAGCUCACUUGACAAAAGGAAGGAACAACAGAAAGAUAGAACAGUUGUUAACACAGACCAGACAUCAAGACACUGAACUCAGACUUGAUAACCACCACCGAGACAGAGGACAAGGUGAAGAGUAUAAUCCUUCAGGAUAUUAUAGUCUGCCAAAAUUCUUCUUCUUCCAUGCUUCAACUGCUUCCCAGCAAAACUCUGCUGAUCUGGAGGGAUCUCCUCCUUAUCCUGACUCUUUGACUUCACAUUAUUAAUGGUUUCUGAGCUCUAAACCUCAAGUGUGAUCGUCUUCCCAGUAAGUGUCUUUACAAAAAUUCGCAUUCCACCUCGAAGAUAAAGAACCAAGUGAAGUGUUGACUCCUUUAUGAUGUUUUACUCCACUAGUCUACGACCAUCCUCAAGUUGUUUACCAGCAAAUAUCAGCCUCUGCUGGUCCGGGGGAAUCCUUCCUUAUCCUUAAAAUUAUCAAUUAAGUCUGAGCUCUCAACCUCAAGAGUAAUAGUCUUUCCUGUCAGAGUCUUAACGAAGUCGAUUCCUUCUGCAUAUUAUAAUCAGCCAAGGUUCAUCCAUCCUCAAGCUGUUUCCCCAGCAAAAAUCAACCUCUGCUGAUCCAGAGGGAUCCCCUCCUCCUGGCUCUUUGCCUUAGCAUUAUCCAUUUAAUCAGAACUUUCGACCUCGAGCGUAAUAGUCUUGCCACUAAGCGUUUUUAACAAAAAUCUUAUCAGUACAAUUAGCGAACAACAAUUAGACACCACAGAAACAAAAAUCACACAGCAGUCGAUAUCCGAAAGACAACAUAGAACACAUUAUCAAAGCACUAAACCCUGGAAAACAACAAAAUAAACACUCUACAAACCAAUUCAUAGCAAUUGAACAGGUAAACAAAUAGAUAGCAAUUCCAAAAAAAAUCUGAUGAGAUCAAGACACUCAAACAUUACGCAAAGAAAAACAAUAACACUAUAACACAAUAAUUGGUUUAGCGACAAACAUUGGAUUGUACGAUUAAAGUAAUAAACCCUAGAAAAAAGAUCAAAAAAAAUGAAACUAUAUUUAACCACAUACUGUCACAAAUCGAAACUAGACUAUGAAUAAAAGUAAGUAAGAGACAUUCCUGAUUUCUGAAGUGUGGAGACCAGAGAGUGAAGAAGCGAAUUUGGGACGAUGUAGUAAUUUGCAUGUUUAUAUACAGGGGUUUGCUUUUGCUUACUAGUAACGCUACGCGUCACGCGUUACACGUUUUUUUGUUGGCUUAGCUGUAACGCGAAGUUUUCACGCGUUACAACUUAGAGCAUCUCCAAGAGCCUCCUUGUUGGCUCCUAAAUAUAAUAUAAAAAAUGUGGCUCUUAGUAAUUUAGGACAAAGUUAAGAGUGUAAACUCCAACAAUACUCUCUACAUCUCUUCUCUAUUUCAUAUUUUAUUCAUAUAUUGGGCUCCACUAUAACAAAAGAGAGGGAAAGAUGGAGGUUGAUUGGAGGGAAGGAUUUUUUUAUUGUGAAAAAAUAAGUUAGGAACCAUGUGGUGGCUCUUAACUUUGAGGAGAGAGGAGAGAGAAACAAGAGGCUCUUAAGAUUUAAGAGCCACUUAAGAGUCUCUUGGAGCAACAUUUUGCUUCUCCCUCCUCAAAUCUCAAGUUAGGAGUCUAAAUGAAGAGCCUCUUGGAGAUGCUCUUACAAUCUUACAUACAGCUCUACGCGUUCAGCUUACGCACGAUAAGCACGCGUUAUUGCCUCCUGUCCUCUCUGAAAUCUUUUUGCUAUUUAAAUAAAUAGUGAAUAAAUCCGCGCUUCGCGGCCGCGUUAUAAAUAUUGAUACGAAUUAAUAUUAUAAUAAUAUAAAAAUUAUUUUGAGUCAUCUUCCCGUUAAACAUAUCACUAAUAAAAAAUAUUUUAAUUAAUAUAAAAAUAUGUUUAAGUGGUCAUCUUGUCAAACACAAUACUAAUAAUAAAAUUAGUUCGAACCCCCCUCCCGUCAAAGACAAUAUUAAUCGAUAAUUAUUAAUUUUAUGAUAAAAUUAAAUAUUAUAAUUUAGAUCAAAAUUAGUUUGAGCCACUUUCUUGUCAAACACAAUACUAAUAAAAAACAUUACUCCCUCCGUCCCUUUUUAGUUGUCACAUUUCUAUUUUUGUUGGUCAAAUUGACUAACUUUUGAUCAAAGAUUGCAUGUCACUCUUUCAUUAUUUUAAAAAACUGAAAAUUACAUCUUAAAGUAGAUUAAAAGUUAUUUCAAGUGAUAUAUUUUUUUUAUUUUUUCAUUUGAUAAAAUAUUAAUAAAUUUCAGUCAAACUUUGGUCAAUUUGACCGGCACAAACCCAAAUGUGACAACUAAAAAGGGGUGGAGGGAGUAUAAUUUAGAAAUUCGUCUGAGUCGCCUUGCUGUCAAACACAACACUAAUAGAAAUUAUUCUAAUUAUGAUAAAAUUAAAUAUUAUAAUUGGAUAAAAAUUAUUUUGAACCGUAGUUCCGUUUUAACAAAACAAUAUAUUUUAACAUAUCUAAAAACUCACUUUAGCCACUUUCCCGUCAAACAUAAUACUAAUAGAAGAUUUAUUAUUAUUUAGAUAAAAAUUAGUUUGGGCAGCCUUCCGUGUCCGUCAAACAAAAUACUAAUCAAGAAUCAUUUGCAGUAUCAUAAAAUCAAUAUAUGAUUCUUAUUUUAUAUAUCCUAUUUUAAUUGUUAAUUAUUUUUAUUUUAUAAUUCCUACUUAUUAGUAAAAUAUUAUUAUUCUUUUAGGGUUCUAAUUUUUUUGCUAUUAGUUUUUUUCAUGAUUAUUAUCUUUACAAUCCUUUAUUUUUAAUUAAAAAUUUAAGAAAAUUAUAAAUCCUUUAUUUUCUAUUAGAAAUUUAAGAAAAUUGUAAGACUAAAUGAAAAUAAAAAUUGUAUGUAUUACCUUACAAAUCUUAAAUAGAAAUUGCAUUUUAUCUAUGAUUUUUAGUUUAAAUAAAUAUAAUCCUAUUCUUUUUAGGAUUCCUAAAUAAGAAAAGAAUUGUAUUACCUUUAAAAUCCAAAAAGAAAAGAAUUGUAUUAAAUUUUGGAAGCCUUGAACUAAAUUUUUUUAAUUAUAAUUAUAUUUUUAUCCGAAAUUUAAGAAAAUUGUAAGAAAAGAAUUUAAUUAUUUUUAGAAUCCAAUAAAAAAAAAGAAUUGUAUUACCUUUUUUUUUAACCUAGGAACCCGCAGCCACGCACUGCGUAAAGAUCACAGGUUCGACAUACAAGUCCCCUCUUUUAACCAGCUGAACCAACUCUUGCGGGCGAAUUGUAUCACCUUUAAGAUCAUUGAACUUGAUUUUUCAAAUUAUAAUUUUAUUCUCUGUCCAAAAUUCAAAAAAAAUUAUAAGACUGAAUCGAACAUAUUGGUUAUAAGUUCAUGCAUACUAUUUGAAUGAGGCUGCGAAGAUCUCAAAGAUGUUUUCAUGAUAGAGAUGCUAUCUUCUUGAUCAUUAUGGAAAGACGUGAGUUUAGCACCAUGAACCUGUUAUAGGCAAUUUGAUAUUUCAGAAGAUGGUGGUUUUAUUUUUUAGAUAUAUAAUUUGAGAAAUACUAAUAAAAUAAGAUUAUAAAUUUUAUAACUUUUGAAAAUAAGAAUUAUAUUUUUAACCUGAUUUUUAGGUUAUAAUUUUAUUUUUAAUUUGAAAUUUAAUUAAGAAAAUUAUAAGACUAAAUUCAAUAAUUCUAGACACGCUGAGUUAAUAAAUUUUACGGUUCGAACAUAUCGUGUUCACUAAUUUGUUAUUUGUGUCUACUAUUUAGACUCUUUUUUUUAAACCUACUAUUUAGACUCUUAAACACAGCUGUGAUUACGGACCUAGUAUUAGAUUAUUCUUUUAUAUAUCUUAUCAAAAAUAAAAUUUUAUAAUAUAAAAUUCAACUACAUCUUCUAUAUAUCUUAUCGAAAAUAAGAAUUGUACAUAUUAUCUUACCAAUCUUAAAUAUAAAUUGUAUUUUAUCUAUUAUUGUUAGUUUGAAUAAUUAUAAUCCUAUUUCUUUUGGGAUUACUAUAUAAAAGAAUUGUAUCAUCUUUGGAAUUCAGUAAGAAAUACUAAAUAAGAAAAAAAAUUGUAUCAUCUUUAGAAUACAAUAAGAAAAGAAUCGUAUUACUUUUAGAAUUCUAAAACCUGAUUUUUUGAAUUAUAAUUAUAAUUUUUAUCCGAAAUUUAAGAAAAAUCAGAAGACUGAAUCGAACAAUUCUAGAGACGCCCGCAUCCUCCUUUAUAUAUAUAUAUACUAGUUAAAAAAGCCACGUUUCGUGGCGGCGUUUAAAUUUUGAUACGAAUUAAUAUUAUAAUAGCGUAAAAAUUAUUUUAAGUCAUCUUCUCGUUAAACAUAUCACUAAUAAAAAAAAUUAUAAUUAGUAUAAAAAUUUGUUUAAGUAGCCAUCCUGUCAAACACAAUACUUAUAAUAAAAUUAGUUCGAAUCUCCCUCCCGUCAAAGACAAUAUUAAUCCAUAAUUAUUAUUUUUAUGAUAAAAUUAAAUAUUAUAAUUUAUAUCAAAAUUAGUUUGAGCUCUCUUGUCAAACACAAUACUGAUAACAAAACAUUAUAAUUUAGAUAUUAGUUUGAGUCGCCUUACUAUCAAACACAAUACUAAUAAAAAGUAUUCUAAAUAUGAUAAAAUUAAGGAUUGUAACUGGAUAAAAAUUAAUUUGAACCGUGGUACCGUUUUAACAAAAAAAUAUUAUAACAUAGAUAAAAAAUUAUUUUAGCCACUUUCCCGAUAAACAUAAUACUAAUAGAAAAUUUAUUAUUAUUUAGAUAAAAAUUAGUUUGGGCCGCCUCCCGUGCCCGUCAAACACAAUACUAAUUAAGAAUCAUUUACAUUAUCAUAAGAUUAAUAUAUGAUUCCUAAUUUAUAUAUCCUAUUUUAUUUGUUAAUUAUUUUUAUUUUAUGAUUACUAUUUAUUAUCUAAAAAUUAUUAUUCUUUUAUGUAUCUAAUUUUUUUGCUAUUAAUUUUUUAAAUGAUUAUUAUCUUUACAAUCCUAUAUUUUGUAUUCGACAAUUAAGAAAAUUAUAAGACUAAAUCGAAAAUAAAAAUUGUACGUAUUGCCUUACAAAUCUUAAAUAUAAAUUUUUAGACAUAUAAUUUGAUAAAAACUAAUAAAAUAUAUAAUUUUUAUAACUUUUAAAAAUAAGAAUUAUAUUUUUUAAUUGUAUUUGUUCUAUAAUUUUGAUUUUGAACAAAUGGAAUCCUAUUCUUUUAUGAUUCCUAAAUAAGUAAAAGAAUUGUACUAUCUUUGCAAUCCUUUUAUCUGCACAAUACUUGAACUUGAUUUUUAGAUUAUAAUUUUAUUUUCCAUAUUCUUAAUUUUAUUUUCUACUCUAAAUUUAAGAAAAUUAUUUUAUAUAUAUAUAUAAUUUGAAAAGAAUUAAUAAACUAAGACUAUAAUUUUAUAACUUUCGAAAAUAAGAAUUAUGUUUUUAUUGUAUUUUUUCAAUGAUUGUUAUAUUAAAUAAAUAAAAUCAUACUCCUUUUACGAUUCUCGAAUAAGAAAAAGAAUUGUAUUACCUCCGCAACCCUUCAACCUCAUUUUUAGAUUUUAAUUUUAUUUUUAUUCAAAAUUUAAGAAAAUUAUUUGUUAGAUUUAUGAUUUGAAAAUUUUUAAUAAAAUAAGACUAUAAGUCUUAUUACUUUUGAAAAUAAAAAUUGUAUUUUUUACUCUGGUUUUUAGGUUAUAAUUUUAUUUUCAAUUUGAAAUUUAAUUAAGAAAAUUAUAAGACUAAAUUCAAUAAUUCUAGACACGCUGAGUUAAUAAAUUUUAUGAUUCGAACAUAUUGUGUUCUCUAAUUUAUUAUUUGUGUCUACUAUUUAGACUCUUAAACACAGUUGUGAUUACGGACCUAGUAUUAGAUUAUUCUUCUAAAUAUCUUAUCGGAAAUAAAAUUUCAUAAUAUAAAAUUUAACAACAUCUUCUGUAUAUCUUAUCGAAAAUAAGAAUUGUACAUAUUAUCUUAUAAAUCUUAAAUAUAAAUUAUAUUUUAUCUAUUAUUGUUAGUUCAAAAAAGUAUAAUCCUAUUUCUUUUAGAAUUACAAAAUAAGAAAAGAAUUGUAUCAUCUUUAGAAUUCAAUAAGAAAUACUAAAUAAGAAAGGAAUUGUAUCAUCUUUAGAAUUUAAUAAGAAAAGAAUUGUAUUACUACUAGAAUUCUUAGACCUGAUUUUUUGAAUUAUAAUUAUAGUUUAUAUCCGAAUUUUAAGAAAAAUUAGAAGAUUGAAUCGAACAAUUCUAGAGAUGCUCGCAUCCUCCUUUAUGUAUAUAUAUAUUGAUUGAUUGAGACAAAAAAAAUGCAACAAAUUGAAAUAACUGAGUUAUGAUAUUAUUUGAAGGGUUCUGGUCCCGUCAGGGACCGUUUAUAUAACACACUACAGGCGUCGCGACUCGCGUCGGAUCUAUAUUUGAAGGGUCCAAAUUAAAAGUUUUUUUUACUGAAUAUCGAUCCGUGGAAAAUUAUAGCGGAUUGGUAAAAAAAAAUUCAAUCCGAACCACUAAAAUACAGAUCUAACGGUUCUCAAGCCGUGUGUUGGAUAAGGCUUUCAUGACAAAUGGUUGUUAGGGAACAAAACCGUUAUUUAAAAUGAAUCAUGUUUAGUACUAAUGUGUCGCACAUGACUGAUACAAUAAAUCUUCGCGUACAUCCUUGUACACUAAGGGGUGAUUUGGCAAAUCUGAACAAAUAAUAUAUGAAUGGAUAAUAUAUCUGACUAAUAUGAAUGAAUAAAAUAUCUGAAUUCUGAAUGAAUAAUAUUGUUUGGAAUUUUUUCUGAAAAUAUCUGAAUUACAAUUUUUUCAAUAAAUAUAUAGUUUAGUUAAAAAACUUCAAACUCAUUUAAUAAUCAUAAAAAUAUUAUACGUUUGUAAUAUGAAAUACAUCUGAUCUUAUUAAAUAUAUUUUAUAAUAGUAGCCGCCUUGAUUUUUAAUACAUGAGGUGGGAAAAAAAAAUUUAAUAUUUUUUUCUAAUCUAACUUUUUGAAAUAUAAAUGUUAAAUUUUUAUCUAUAAUAAAAUUAAAAAUAAUAUAUAAAAAAUAUAUUUUUUUACGGCUAAAGUAAAUUAUAAAAUGUCAAAAUAUUAUCUUGAAACAAAUAGAAUUACGAUUUUACAAGACAGGUUUUCGAAGUUUCAAACCAUUCUUCAUGUGAUGGUUGAUUUUUUGAGGUAUAUUAAACAUAUAUGACUCGCUCAGUUAGCAUUUCUGGGAUGGAUGGUUCAGCAUAUAUAUGAUUCGGUCAGCUGUGUCAGGUGCAUGUCCAAAUAAACUGAACCAAAGGUUUCGCUCAGAUCAAUCUUGUUCAGCACCGUUCAGAAGGAAACAAAUGGCCCCUAACUCACGACCUAAAAUUUAGGAAUAGAUUAGAACACACGUCUUCAGUUUUGCUUUCACUUCUGUGUUAUCCAUUCAAUCUAUAAAUGUAUCUCUGAUAUCAAAAACUUAUGUAAAUACAUUAUUUCUUUAUUAAUGCAAUUUUUUAUAAUUUUAAAUCUUAUUUUCUUCUCUUUUUUUUUGUCAUAAAGCACUGAAUCAUAUUUUCUAUAUUUCUAUAAAAAAAUAUAAUAUAUAAAUAUGUGUUAAAAACAUUUCUCAAAUCAAUAUAUCCAUAAAAUAUAUAAUUUUUAUGGACAUAGUUAUGUUCAAAAAUAAUUAUAAAAAAAUUUAAUAUAAUUUUUGGAUUCAGUCUUUUGAAUGCAUAAAAAUAAUUUUUAUUUCAAAUCAUGCUAAAAAUAUUCAUUUUGGAAUAAAUUUCUUUUCAAAAAAAUUAUCAUAAUAAACAUCAUAUUUACAUAAUAAAAAUAAAAUGCACGGCAAAGUAAAUAAAUUAGCUUUUUAAUAAAUAGAUGAAUGAUAUAGUAUUUAAUGUUUUAUUACCCACCGAAACAAAUUUUAUAAUAUAAGUUGUUUUAUAGAUAUAUCAGGCUCAUUAAAUUAUAAAAAGGUUAUAUAACAAAAGUUAAAUAUGUCAUCAUAAGGUAAAUAAAUAAUACUAAAAAAAAAAGAUUUAGGUUAUAAUUUUUGUAAGUGUAUUUUUAAUCUACAGUUAACAUGAAGUGAUAAAUUUUAACAUGAGGUAAUAAAGAAAUCCCGAAAACGUAGACGUGAGUAGAAGUUAGAAUUGUUCCUAAAUUAUAGGUAGUGAAUUAGUAGUGUAUAAGGAUGUAGGCGAAGAUUUAUUGUGACUGAUAUUACAUGUCACAUUUAUUUAACAUUUUUAUUUAACUAUUUAAUCUAUAAAACCAAUUUUUAUAUAUUAUUUAACAUUAUUAAAUAUCAUAAUUAUUGGAUUAUUAAAUUAUAAUAUGUAAAUAUUAUCUUAAAUAUAUUAUAUUAUAAUAUAAUUUACAAUUAAAAUGACUAACAAUAAAAUUGUAUAUAUAAUGCAUUGUAUAAUUAUUAAAAGAAAAUUUAAUUUAUAAAUGAAUAAAGUCGCUUAAAUGCUAUACGCUUGAAUUGAGGAAAAAUGCUAGAUAACCAAAAGAUAAUCUCUUGUUCCCGAAUUCUAAGUGGCAAUGCAUGAUUGGGUACUCGUGUACUAAUAAUUAAUGGACAAUUUUUUGGGAACAAACUUUGGCUCGAUAGCAUUACCCUAAAUUCAGGGUUUGUUCGGUGACGGAAGAAGCGAACCUGCUGUGAUGAUAGUAAUUUUCAGACGAUACAAUGUGUGCAUGUGUGGCUUUCAUUUCUAAAAUUCGUUUUAGUAAAGAAAAACCGGCUUCUUAACCGGACUUUCUAUAAAAAUUUGAUACUGUAUAUUAUAAUCAUUAGAUCAAUAAAUCAAAUUAACUAAAAUUUUAGAUUAAAUUUUCAAUAUAUUUGUGUCUAUAAUGCUAUCAAAGAUCUAAAAUUUAAAUUUCAAAAGUAUAUUAUUAUAUUUGUAUUAUAAUAUUUAUACAAAAAACUAACAAAUAAAUUACAAUAAUAUAAAAAUACAAACAGAAACUAUUGUCAUAUAAAAAUAUUACUCUCUCCGUCUCUUUUUAGUUGUCACAUUUUUUUUUGUUGGUAAAAUUGACUAAUUUUUAACCAUAUAAGUCAGUCUUUCAUUAUUUUAAAAAACUGAAAAUUACAUCUUAAGGUAAAUUAAAAGUUAUUUCCGACUACAUAUAUUUUUUAUUUUUUUAAUUGAUAAAAUAUUAGUGAAUUACCGUGACCGGCACAAAACCAAAUCUGACAACUAAAAAGGAUGGAGGCGGAGGGAGUAGUUCACUUGACGAAAGGAGAAAACUACAGAAAAAUUGACAGUCGUAAAUACUUAAUACAGACCAGAUAUCAAGACACUGAACUCAAACUUGAUAACCACCACGGAGACGGGGGACGAGGUGAAUGAGUAGACUCCUUCUGGAUAUUGUGUCUACCAAAGUUCUUCCAUCCUCCAACUGCUUCCCAGCAAAAAUAAGCCUUUGCUGAUUUGGAGGGAGAUCCCCUCCUUGUCCUGAAUCUUUGCCUUCACAUUAUCAAUGGUAUCUGAGCUCUAAACCUUAAGUGUAAUCCUCUUUACAAAAAUUUGCAUUCCAAUACGAAGAUGAAGAACCAAGUGAACCAGUAAGGGUAUUCACAAAAAUUUGCAUUCCACCACCGAGUCAGAGAAGACGGCCAUCCUCAAGCUGUUUAGCCGCAAAUAUCAGCUUCUGCUGGUCCAGGGAUCCCUUCCAUUGUCCUUAACAUUAUCAAUUAUGUCUGAUUGUCCGAUCUCUUAACCUCGAGAGUAAUAGUCUUGUCUGUCAGAGUCUUAACAAAGAUCUGCAUCCCUCUUCUCAUCAGCCGAAGAACCAAAUGCAGAGUCGUUUCCUUCUGAAUAUCAUAAUCAAGCAAAGGUUCAUCGAUCCUCCAGCUGUUUCCCAGCAAAGAUCAACCUCUGCUGAUCCUGAGGGAUCCCCUCCUUUUCCUGGAUAGACUUAGCAUUAUCCGCCGUACAGAACUUUAGACCUCGAGAGUAAUAGCAUUGCCACUAAGCCUUUUUAACAAAAUUCUGCAUCUGUUCAAUUAGCGAACAACAAAAACCACGGAAACAUAUAACAGUGAGAACAAAAAAUUAAACACUCCAGAAAACAAUUCAUGGCAAUUAAACAGGUAAAACAUAUAGAUAUCAAUCCCGAAAAAGUCGGAUCAGAUCAAAACACUAAAACGUAACGCAAAACAAAACAGCAACACAAUAAUUGAUAGAGCGACAAUAUUUAAUGAGAAAUGAUUAUAUCAAUUUGAAGCGUAAAACCCUGGAUGAUACGAUUACAAAGUAAUAAACCCUAGAAAAAAAAAUCAAAAUAAAAAUGAAACUAUAUAUAACCAUAUACAAAUCGAAACUAAAUUAUAAAUUAUAAAUUAGAUCAAGGGACAUACUUGAUUUGUGAAGUGUGGAGACCAGAGAGUAAUUGAAGAAGCGAAUUUGGGAUGAUGUAAUAAUUUGCAUGGUUAUAUAUAUAGGGUUUGCUUUUGCUUACCAGUAACGCUACGCGCCUCGCGUUACACGCGUCUUCUUUGGAUGGCUUAGCUGUAACGCGACGUUUUCACGCGUUACAUACAGCUCUAGCCUCUAUGCGUUAAGCUUACGCGCGAUAAGCAUGCGUUAUUGCCCCCUGUCUUCGAAAUAUUUUUGUUGUUUUAUUGAAACUUUAAAUAAAUAUUUAUUAGUUUAUAAGAAAUAAUUAAUACAACAAAUUGAAAUAAUAGAAUUAUGAUAUUAUACGAAAUCAAUCAGGUUUUAGUAUUAUUUUUUUUUACAAAUAUGACUUAUAACUUUAUAAAUGAAUAUCUGUUCUACAAUCAGGUUUUAGUAUUAAUGUAUCGUCAUCAUUAUUUAACUAUAUGAUGUAUAAAACAACUUUUUAUAUAUUAUUUAACAUUAUUAAAUGUAAUAUAUAUUGGAAAUAUUAAAUUAUAAUAUCAAUAUAUCAUUUUAUAAUAUAAAUUACAAUUAAAUUAAUAUGACUGUAACAAUAAAAUUGUAAAUAUAAUGCAUUGUAUAAAUAUUAAAGAAAAUACAAUUUAUGAAAUCGCUUAAAUUGAGAGUUUGUUCGGUGAUGGAAGAAGCGAACGUGUUGUGAUGAUGACUGAUGAGUAGUUUUCAAACAAUACAAUUGGCUCGUUUGCGUGAUUAAAAAAAGUUAUUUAUAAAUUAAAAAUUAAAAAUAAUUAUAAAUUAUUAGAUAUGUUUGGAUAAUUUUAUUUGUAAGUGAAUUGAGUCUUUGAUGAUUUAAAUUUAUAAAAUAAAAAUCAUAUUAUUAAAAUGCAAAAAAAAAUAUUAAUAUACUCAAAAUAAAUAUAUUACACAUUGUAAUUUUAUAAUUAUUAUAGUAAAAUCUAAAUCGAGAAAAAAUAACAAAUUAAAAUAAUUUUUUUCUAACUUUUACCAUACCAAUCAUUUCCUUACAUUGUUGGACGAGAUCUCAUCACUUCUCUGUUUGUUUUUCCCUUUCACGGGGGCGUUUGGGUGAGCUUAAAAUAAGUGCUUUUUGCCUAAAAUAAAAAAGUGAAUUAGAAGUCAGAAGCAAGUUAAGACUUAUAAGUGAUUAAACUGUUUGGGAAAGAAGUAGAAGUCCAGAAACAAAAGCUAGUAAUCCUAACUUCUUUUAAGUGCUUCUCGACUUUUUACACAAACGAUACAAAUAAGUGCUUUUAACUUAUAAGCCCAGAAGCCGGGCUUAUAAACGUUUCCCAAACACCACCCACAUCAUUUUUACUCCACAAUAUUUCUUUUAUACAUUAAAAAACUAUUUCAUCGUUUUUUCCUAUUGUUUUGUACAUAUUUUUUAAAGUAUGUGUUCAAAUCAUUUAUAAACAAUUGACGGGACGGGACAAUUCAAUAUUAUAUAUCUAAAUAUAUUAAUUAAUAAUUUUUUUUAAAGGAAAAAGAUAAUUUAAUAAAUAACAACCAUACAACUACAAGAAUGAUCGACUCGAACAAAUAUAGAAUAGAUUAAACGCGAGUCUUCGUACCUAGGAUGAAAUAAAUAAGCGAUGUUGAAAUUGAUGAUGAUAUAUUUAUAGAUCCUUACUCUCUUUUCACCAUCUUUCCGAAAAAUUUGUUUGAACCAUCAAAUACAAAUAUAAUUCUAGGAAUGCUUUUAUUGAUAAAUUCAAACCAACUCUCACAAAAAAAAAGAGAAAAGUCACACACUCACGCUAGGAAUUAAACAGAAAAAUUUAGGGCUUUCCAUCGGAAAAACAAUGGAAUCCCCGUCGGAAUGAAAAAAGAAGGAGGAUGCGGCUAGAGAGAAGAGAGAAAAAAAAAACUAGGGUUUUGUGAUUAUAUUAAAUAGUUAUUAAAAUACAAAUAUAAUAUAUUAUCUUAUUUUAUUUUAAUGUUUUAACAUUAGAGCCUAUUAAAAUAAUAAAAAAUUAUUUAAAAUUUUAAUAAAAAAUACCGGACACAGGACGAGUUUUAAACUACGAAAAUCUGUAUAGUAUACAGGGUUUGCUUUUGCUUACCAGUAACGCUACGCGGCAUGCAUUACACACGUUUUUUUGUUGGCUUAGCUGUAACGCUGAGUUUUCACGCGUAACAACUCGCAUACAGUCUCUUCGCGUUAAGUUUACGCACGAUGUACAUACGUUAUUCCCCUGUCCUCGAAUAAUUUCUAUUAUUUUUAAUAACUAAUUAUUAAUUUAUAAGAUAAAAACAAUGCAAAAAUUGAAAGAAAAUGAAUCAAGCUAUUUCCUCACCCAUCCAAAGCUUAAACGGUACUCUAUAGUUUAUGACUCUAUCCCGUCUUGAACGUUAAACGUGGGAAUGUGAUUCCCACAUAAAUUCAUUAAAUUAAUUUUUGACUUAAAAAUUUAUAAUAUAUUUCCAAUGAUAUAAUUGAAAUUAAAAUUAUUUAAUAAAUUAUAAUAUUAAAGAACAACAUUAUUAAAAUAUUAAAGUCAAGCGAAGAACAACAUUAUUAAAAUAUUCCGAAACAAACCAAACAACAAAGACCAACAGUGUUAAAAUAUCAGAAACAAACCAAAGAACAAAGAGCAAGAGUAUCAGAUGAAUAAAGACAAUAAGACUAUGUACUGCCUAGUUUAGCAUAUAUCUAUGAUGCCCGCAGUAACAAAAAUAAUAAUGGCAAAAACAUAAGAAAGAAAGUUUGUAAUUAAUGUACAAAGAUAGAUCAUAAGCAGUGAAACAGAGGUAAAGCAGUGAUUAGUGACUAGUUUACAUGUUGAAGAAACACACCUUAAACAAUAGCGCUUCUCUAGGGAUCCUUUAAAUGACACUGUAGAUCUGACUGGGUAGUCAGAUUGUUUACACUUUGAUAAGUUGUUCAUGCAAACUCAUUAUUUAUGGAAGUGAAUCGUUAUUACAGACGAUCUACUAAUCUACUAGAAUUUCUUAUAAUCAUAAACAAGUGCUGAAGUGUUAAAUCCACCUGGACAUCACCUUCUAUUCCUUGUGUUAAAAUAUGCUUGUUCUUUCGCUGUUCAUUCAAAUGCAUGUUUCCUUCCCCAGAACAUUAUAUGCCCAUCUGUAUCUUUUGAAACAAAGAACUAAAUGCCUUCUGUACUUUAAAUCUGCAAAAUUACAAACAAAACACAAUGAAAUUAACCAUAGUAAGAGAUUUUCUUCAGACAAAGUUAUUAUAUACAAAAACUUCUAUCAAGAAACAUUAACUGAUAGAACAGGUGAACACACCUUCAAGCCUUCUAGGCAAGAUAUCUAAAAUGCAAUCCACAAAUCUCUGCAUCAACAUUAUUUUCGACAAUACAUGUGACUGAAGGACAAAAAACCAUCUACUAGUCAAGAGGAUUAACAAAUUUGACAAGUACAAUCCCGAUAUUAGCUUUCAACUCUGUUUAGUCAUGCAGAACAUAAUGAACUAAGAAUAACACAAAGGUGUGAGAAUUGAGAAAUUUCCGUACCCUAAUUGUUUUACUGUAAGAACAGAAGUAUUUAGAUUAAUAAAAACUCAUUCUGCAUAAUGAAGAAAUUAUGUAGACAACAGAUGAUUGCUGCUUAUUUAAUAUAUAUCAGCUAGUGAUCUAACUGAACAUAGAUUUAUCACUUAGAAAAGUUGUAGUACACUCCAUUAAAACCAAAUAUAAUCAUUGUCAUGCAAAUAUUAGUUCACUUGACAAAAGGAGAAAACAACAGAAAGAUUGAACAGUUGUUUAUACAGACCAGAGAUCAAGACGCUGAACUCAAACUUGAUAAACCACCACGGAGACGGAGGACGAGGUGAAGAGUAGACUCCUUCUGGAUAUUAUAGUCUGCCAAAGUUCUUCCAUCCUCCAACUGCUUCCCAGCAAAAAUAAGCCUUUGCUGAUUUGGAGAUCUCCCCUCCUUGUCCUGAAUCUUUGCCUUCAC
rnacentral:lncRNA from 1 species